AUUGAACGCUUGCGGCAGGCCUAACACAUGCAAGUCUGGCGAGCGGCGGACGGGUGAGUAAUGUAUGGGGAUCUGCCUGAUGGAGGGGGAUAACUACUGGACACGGUAGCUCAUACCGCCUACCAUCAGCUUAACCCAUAUGGGAUUAGCUUGUAGGUGGGGUAACGGCUCACCUAGGCGACGAUCCCUAGCUGGUCUGAGAGGAUGCUCAGCCACACUGGGACUGAGACACGGCCCAGACUCCUACGGGAGGCAGUAGUGGGGAAUAUUGCACAAUGGGCGCAAGCCUGAUGCAGCCAUGCCGCGGGUAUGAAGAAGGCCUUCGGGUUGUAAAGUACUUUCAGUCGGGAGGCGUUACCGACAGAAGAAGCACCGGCUAACUCCGUGCCAGCCGCCGCGGUAAUUC
rnacentral:rRNA from 1 species